rnacentral:rRNA from 1 species
UGGUGGAGUGAUUUGUCUGGUUAAUUCCGAUAACGAACGAGACCUCUACCUGCUAAAUAGGUGUUGGUUCCUGCGAGAACCAGCAGACUUCUUAGAGGGACUGUUGGCGUUACCAGUCAACGGAAGUUGGAGGCAAUAACA